rnacentral:rRNA from 1 species
UACGUAGGGGGCUAGCGUUGUCCGGAAUCAUUGGGCGUAAAGCGCGUGUAGGCGGUCCGGUAAGUCCGCUGUGAAAGUCGGGGGCUCAACCCUCGAAAGCCGGUGGAUACUGUUGGGCUAGAGUACGGAAGAGGCGAGUGGAACUCCUGGUGUAGCGGUGAAAUGCGCAGAUAUCAGGAGGAACACCAAUUGCGAAGGCAGCUCGCUGGGACGUUACUGACGCUGAGACGCGAAAGCGUGGGGAGCAAACAGG